UACGAAGGGGGCUAGCGUUGUUCGGAAUUACUGGGCGUAAAGCGCGCGCAGGCGGCUAUCCAAGUCAGUGGUGAAAGCCCGGAGCUCAACUCCGGAACUGCCAUUGAAACUGUUUAGCUUGAGGACGAGAGAGGUGAGUGGAAUUCCCAGUGUAGAGGUGAAAUUCGUAGAUAUUGGGAAGAACGACCGGUGGCGAAGGCGGCUCACUGGCUCGUAUCUGACGCUCAGGCG
rnacentral:rRNA from 1 species